rnacentral:pre_miRNA from 1 species
AGUGGAAAUGCUGAAUUAUAUGGUAAUUCUGUUUCAUUUGUUGAGAAACCACCACACUGUUUUUCACAGUGGCUGCACCAUUUUACAUUCUCACCAGCAAC